GACGAACGCUGGCGGCGUGCUUAACACAUGCAAGUCGAACGAUGAAGCCGGAGCUUGCUCUGGUGAAUUAGUGGCGAACGGGUGAGUAACACGUGAGUAACCUGCCCUUGACUCUGGGAUAACUGCUAGAAAUGGUAGCUAAUACCGGAUACGACCCUCGGAGGCAUCUCCAGGGGGUGGAAAGAAUUUCGGUCAAGGAUGGACUCGCGGCCUAUCAGCUAGUUGGUGAGGUAACGGCUCAACAAGGCGACGACGGGUAGCCGGCCUGAGAGGGUGACCGGCCACACUGGGGCUGAGACACGGCCCAGACUCCUACGGGAGGCAGCAGUGGGGAAUAUUGCACAAUGGGCGCAAGCCUGAUGCAGCAACGCCGCGUGAGGGAUGACGGCCUUCGGGUUGUAAACCUCUUUUAGUAGGGAAGGAGCGAAAGUGACGGUACCUGCAGAAAAAGCACCGGCUAACUACGUGCCAGCCGCCGCGGUAA
rnacentral:rRNA from 1 species